rnacentral:rRNA from 1 species
UACAGAGGGGGCAAGCGUUGUUCGGAAUUACUGGGCGUAAAGGGCGCGUAGGCGGCCUGUUAAGUCGAACGUGAAAUCCCUGGGCUCAACCCAGGAACUGCGUCCGAUACUGGCAGGCUUGAAUCCGGGAGAGGGAUGUGGAAUUCCAGGUGUAGCGGUGAAAUGCGUAGAUAUCAGGAGGAACACCAAUGGCGAAGGCAGCUCGCUGGAACGGUACUGACGCUGUGGCGCGAAAGCGUGGGGAGCGAACAGG